CGCGUAGGCGGGGAGGUAAGUCGGGUGUGAAAUCCCUCGGCCCAACCGAGGAACUGCGCCCGAGACUGCUUCUCUUGAGUCCCGGAGAGGAAGAUGGAAUUCCCGGUGUAGCGGUGAAAUGUGUAGAGAUCGGGAGGAACACCGGUGGCGAAGGCGGUCUUCUGGACGGUGACUGACGCUGAGGCGCGAAAGCGUGGGGAGCAAACA
rnacentral:rRNA from 1 species